ensembl:lncRNA DLEU1 deleted in lymphocytic leukemia 1
CAGCAUCAUGUAAGAUGUGCCUGCUCCCCCUUCCGCCAUGAUUGUAAGUUUCCCGAGGCCUCCUCAGCCAUGUGGAACUAUGAGAAAACUGAAGAUAAGAAAAAUUCUGCAGCUUGCCUAGAAUAUGGCUGCUAGCAAAUGUUGUAAAGGAACUCAGAUCUGCCCAUUCCCAGAGCCUGAGGUCUUAAUCUAUUCUGCUGACUUAAAUUCUGUAUCAUGAGUUUCACAACCUGAAGCUUGGGAACUCCUGUGGAGCCCUGGAGUGAUGUUUAAGGAAUACUUCAGUGAGCUGUACACACUACAACUCCCAUAUUGCAUUUUAGUUUUUAAAAAUAGUUUCUUUAAAAUAAAUGCAAGAGGGGUCUCUGAACAAUAUGCUCAGGUCUCCAAACUGGCUGAAUUUACCACGGACUAUUUUUCUAGCAUUUGGAUUUUAACAGAAGCAGAGCAAAGUUGGGAUGACCACACCCUUCCUGGGCUUCAAGGACUUUAAAAAUGUCCUGGCUGCCCCAGAAGUUGGAGAGCUCUACAUUUCAGCGUUGGUGGUAUUCUCCACUGGUUGAAUGCAAAUGGAAGCCAGAGGAAAAGGGAACCCUUGACACAGUUUUCAUAUAGAUUGGCCUCCAGGGCAGACAGCAGAUUCCAAGAACCAGGAGGUUGUUUGCUGUACUCUCCCUUGUACAGUUAGCUGUCUCUAGUGCCUGAAUGCACUAAUUGUCCUUUGGGUAUGGAUGAGGUAAUGAAGGAAAGGGAUGCUGGGAAGAGAGGCCACAUGAGAAG